UGGCGGCGUGCCUAAUACAUGCAAGUCGAACGGUCUUUCUAUGGAAGCUUGCUUCCACUGAGAAGAUAGUGGCGAACGGGUGAGUAACACGUGGGUAACCUGCCCAUAAGAGGGGGAUAACAUCCGGAAACGGGUGCUAAUACCGCAUAGUUUUCUUGAUCGCAUGAUCGGGAAAGGAAAGACGGCCUUUGUGCUGUCGCUUAUGGAUGGACCCGCGGCGUAUUAGUUAGUUGGUGAGGUAACGGCUCACCAAGACGAUGAUACGUAGCCGACCUGAGAGGGUGAUCGGCCACAUUGGGACUGAGACACGGCCCAAACUCCUACGGGAGGCAGCAGUAGGGAAUCUUCCGCAAUGGACGAAAGUCUGACGGAGCAACGCCGCGUGAGUGAAGAAAGGUUUUCGGAUCGUAAAACUCUGUUGUCAGAGAAGAACAAGUUGGAGAGUAACUGCUCCAGCCUUGACGGUAUCUGACCAGAAAGCCACGGCUAACUACGUGCCAGCAGCGGC
rnacentral:rRNA from 1 species